rnacentral:rRNA from 1 species
AACCUCCGCAAUGUGAGAAAUCGCGACGGGGGGAUCCCAAGUGCCAUUCUUAACGGGAUGGCUUUUCAUUAGUGUAAAGAGCUUUUGGAAUAAGAGCUGGGCAAGACCGGUGCCAGCCGCCGCGGUAACACCGGCAGCUCUAGUGGUAACAAUUUUUAUUGGGCCUAAAGCGUCCGUAGCCGGUUUAAUAAGUCUCUGGUGAAAUCCUGUAGCUUAACUGUGGGAAUUGCUGGAGAUACUAUUAGACUUGAGACCGGGAGAGGUUAGAGGUACUCCCAGGGUAGAGGUGAAAUUCUGUAAUCCUGGGAGGACCGCCUGUUGCGAAGGCGUCAACUGGAACGGUUCUGACGGUGAGGGACGAAAGUUAGGGGCGCGAAACCGGAUUAGAUACCCGGGUAGUCCUAACUGUAAACGAUGCGGACUUGGUGUUGGGGUGGCUUUGAGCUGCUCCAGUGCCGAAGGGAAGCUGUAAGUCCGCCGCCUGGGAAGUACGGUCGCAAGACUGAAACUUAAGGAAAUU